CCUACGGGUGGCAGCAGUGGGGAAUAUUGGGCAAUGGGCGCAAGCCUGACCCAGCAACGCCGCGUGAAGGAAGAAGGUUUUCGGGUUGUAAACUUCUUUUCUGAGGGACGAAGAAAGUGACGGUACCUCAGGAAUAAGCUACGGCUAACUACGUGCCAGCAGCCGCGGUAAUACGUAGGUGGCAACGGUGUUCCGGAUUUAUUGGGUGUAAAGGGCGUGUAGGUGGGAAAGCAAGUCAGAUGUGAAAACUCAGGGCUCAACCCUGAGCCUGCAUUUGAAACUGUUGUUCUUGAGUGCUGGAGAGGCAAGCGGAAUUCCGUGUGUAGCGGUGAAAUGCGUAGAUAUACGGAGGAACACCAGUGGCGAAGGCGGAUUGCUGGACAGUAACUGACGCUGAGGCGCGAAAGCGUGGGGAGCAAACAGGAUUAGAUACCCGAGUAGUC
rnacentral:rRNA from 1 species